rnacentral:rRNA from 1 species
UUUAAUUGAAGAGUUUGAUCAUGGCUCAGAUUGAACGCUGGCGGCAGGCCUAACACAUGCAAGUCGAGCGGCAGCGACAUCAACAAUCCUUCGG